GACGAACGCUGGCGGCGUGCCUAAUACAUGCAAGUCGAACGCUUUUUCUUUCACCGGAGCUUGCUCCACCGAAAGAAAAAGAGUGGCGAACGGGUGAGUAACACGUGGGUAACCUGCCCAUCAGAAGGGGAUAACACUUGGAAACAGGUGCUAAUACCGUAUAACACUAUUUUCCGCAUGGAAGAAAGUUGAAAGGCGCUUUUGCGUCACUGAUGGAUGGACCCGCGGUGCAUUAGCUAGUUGGUGAGGUAACGGCUCACCAAGGCAACGAUGCAUAGCCGACCUGGGAGGGUGAUCGGCCACACUGGGACUGAGACACGGCCCAGACUCCUACGGGAGGCAGCAGUAGGGAAUCUUCGGCAAUGGACGAAAGUCUGACCGAGCAACGCCGCGUGAGUGAAGAAGGUUUUCGGAUCGCAAAACUCUGUUGUUAGAGAAGAACAAGGAUGAGAGUAGAACGUUCAUCCCUUGACGGUAUCUAACCAGAAAGCCACGGCUAACUACGUGCCAGCCGCCGCCGUAA
rnacentral:rRNA from 1 species